GUGGGGGCAAAGUUUCAGUGCAUUCCGUUGAUGUAGACGGCGUGAAAACGGAAACAAGUAUGCCGGCUCACUGUGCUGCAUACAAUUACACACUACGUCGUACGAUUGAGACAAGGAAACCUGGAAUGACUUUUCAUAGGUUUCCCAGAGACUAUGGGUUGAGGAGGAAUUGGAAGUUUGUCGGCUUAGACCUGUGUCAUUCCAUCAGUGUUAAACUUCCCGGCUCAUCUUGGAAGAGUAUGUGCCAGAAAGACCACGACCAAGCAGCCUUGAGAUCUUAGGCAGCGUCUCCCUCAGGUCCCUCUCUAUCUCCCCACACAUCCACCAACCACUGGAACACAUCUCCAAAGUUCUGCUGGGCCAGCUCAGCUUCCCCUCAGAAGAAGUGCUGCCACCUGCCAGAUGAAGGAGCCUUUUGAGAGGCAGCUGGCAUCGUGAUUGGACUGUACUUUGGUCUGUUCCAAUCCAGCUUCAGCUCCAGAGACGGCAGGCGGGACGAGUCAACGGAGGCCGGGUGGACGAAGGCAUGCAGCUGAGUACAAUCCAGAAAACAACAGAGGAGGAGUGCAGCGGCCCAGGGCCAGAACAACCAGAGUAGCAUCGUAUGUCUCUUAGAAAACAUCAUAGUAGAGCCUUUGGUAUGAAAAAACGCCAUCAUAUACAUCGUAUAUUGUACAAAUAAGAAGUCAAAGGAAAGAGACAUACAUUGUAGAAUUGUAGUAAUUGUGGGCUGAGUGAUUUACUGAGUAUCAGUAUUUUAUUUUUUACUGAUUUAUGGUAAUAAAUCAAUUUAAAAAUGGUGCUACUUUGGCUCUGAACCUUAAUCUACCUGUGGUCGCUCUGUCUUCUGGAGUGAUUUGAUUGGUUAUACGUCACGAAUAAAACUCCUUUAACAUCUGUAAACAAAACAAAAACAUAUCAACAAAGUUUUCUGUUAGAGUUUGUGUUCUUCUAAGUUUAACUCCAAGAUUUUAAAUACUUUCAUUUACUGCAAAUGAAUAUCUACUCCAAAUGUCUCACUAAUACUCACUAAUAAUCAUUAUCAGCCUUAAAAACCCACAAAACACCACUCUAUACUCGACCACACUUAGUACACUCCGGUUCCCCCUUCUAUAAAUCUGCUUGGAAUCUUCUACUUCCUGUUUGUCAAAGUGGCCUUCUACCUGGACAGGUUUUGUUGGAGCUCAUGCAACAAACAUUUUGGGUAACUG
ensembl:lncRNA